UAGGGAAUAUUGGGCAAUGGACGGAAGUCUGACCCAGCCAUGCCGCGUGCAGGAAGAAGGCCUUCUGGGUUGUAAACUGCUUUUAUAUAGGAAGAAAACACUCUUGCGAGAGGAACUGACGGUACUAUAUGAAUAAGCACCGGCUAACUCCGUGCCAGCAGCCGCGGUAAUACGGAGGGUGCAAGCGUUGUCCGGAUUUAUUGGGUUUAAAGGGUGCGUAGGCGGCCCUGUAAGUCAGUGGUGAAAGCCUCCAGCUCAACUGGAGAACUGCCAUUGAUACUGCAGGGCUUGAGUACAGACGAGGUUGGCGGAAUUGAUGGUGUAGCGGUGAAAUGCAUAGAUACCAUCAAGAACUCCGAUUGCGUAGGCAGCUAACUAGGCUGUAACUGACGCUGAGGCACGAAAGCGUGGGGAGCGAACAGGAUUAGAUACCCUGGUAGUCCACGCCGUAAAACGAUGAUUACUCGAUGUUGGCGAU
rnacentral:rRNA from 1 species